UCCGGAGGAGGCAAUCGUUAUCCGGAAUUAUUGGGCGUAAAGCGUCCGUAGGUGGUUGGCCAAGUCUGCUGUCAAAGGGUGGGGCUUAACCUCAUAAAGGCAGUGGAAACUGGCGAGCUAGAGUGCGGUAGGGGUAGGGGGAAUUCCCAGUGUAGCGGUGAAAUGCGUAGAGAUUGGGAAGAACAUCGGUGGCGAAAGCGCCCUGCUGGGCCUGCACUGACACUGAGGGACGAAAGCUAGGGGAGAGAAAGGG
rnacentral:rRNA from 1 species